GAGGAGCCUACGUCCGAUUAGCUAGUUGGCGGGGUAAAGGCCCACCAAGGCGACGAUCGGUAGCUGGUCUGAGAGGACGACCAGCCACACUGGGACUGAGACACGGCCCAGACUCCUACGGGAGGCAGCAGUGGGGAAUUUUUCGCAAUGGGGGCAACCCUGACGAAGCAAUGCCGCGUGGAUGAAGAAGGCCUUCGGGUUGUAAAGUCCUUUCGUGGAGGACGAAAAGGUGGGUUCUAAUACAAUCUGCUAUUGACGUGAAUCCAAGAAGAAGCACCGGCUAACUCCGUGCCAGCAGC
rnacentral:rRNA from 1 species